rnacentral:rRNA from 1 species
UACGUAGGUGGCAAGCGUUGUCCGGAUUUAUUGGGUUUAAAGGGUGCGUAGGCGGCCCUGUAAGUCAGUGCUGAAAUAUCCCGGCUUAACCGGGAGGGUGGCAUUGAUACUGCAGGGCUUGAGUACAGAUGAAGUAGGCGGAAUUGACGGUGUAGCGGUGAAAUGCAUAGAUAUCGUCAAGAACACCGAUAGCGAAGGCAGCCUACUAAGCUGUAACUGACGCUGAGGCACGAAAGUGUGGGGAUCAAACAGG